GUCGCAAGACCAAAGUGGGGGACCUUCGGGCCUCAUGCCAUCAGAUGUGCCCAGAUGGGAUUAGCUAGUAGGUGGGGUAACGGCUCACCUAGGCGACGAUCCCUAGCUGGUCUGAGAGGAUGACCAGCCACACUGGAACUGAGACACGGUCCAGACUCCUACGGGAGGCAGCAGUGGGGAAUAUUGCACAAUGGGCGCAAGCCUGAUGCAGCCAUGCCGCGUGUGUGAAGAAGGCCUUCGGGUUGUAAAGCACUUUCAGCGGGGAGGAAGGCGUUAAGGUUAAUAACCUUGGCGAUUGACGUUACCCGCAGAAGAAGCACCGGCUAACUCCGUGCCAGCAGCCGCGGUAAUACGGAGGGUGCAAGCGUUAAUCGGAAUUACUGGGCGUAAAGCGCACGCAGGCGGUCUGUCAAGUCGGAUGUGAAAUCCCCGGGCUCAACCUGGGAACUGCAUUCGAAACUGGCAGGCUAGAGUCUUGUAGAGGGGGGUAGAAUUCCAGGUGUAGCGGUGAAAUGCGUAGAGAUCUGGAGGAAUACCGGUGGCGAAGGCGGCCCCCUGGACAAAGACUGACGCUCAGGUGCGAAAGCGUGGGGAGCAAACAGGAUUAGAUACCCUGGUAGUCCACGCCGUAAACGAUGUCGAUUUGGAGGUUGUGCCCUUGAGGCGUGGCUUCCGGAGCUAACGCGUUAAAUCGACCGCCUGGGGAGUACGGCCGCAAGGUUAAAACUCAAAUGAAUUGACGGGGGCCCGCACAAGCGGUGGAGCAUGUGGUUUAAUUCGAUGCAACGCGAAGAACCUUACCUGGUCUUGACAUCCACAGAACUUUCCAGAGAUGGAUUGGUGCCUUCGGGAACUGUGAGACAGGUGCUGCAUGGCUGUCGUCAGCUCGUGUUGUGAAAUGUUGGGUUAAGUCCCGCAACGAGCGCAACCCUUAUCCUUUGUUGCCAGCGGUUCGGCCGGGAACUCAAAGGAGACUGCCAGUGAUAAACUGGAGGAAGGUGGGGAUGACGUCAAGUCAUCAUGGCCCUUACGACCAGGGCUACACACGUGCUACAAUGGCAUAUACAAAGAGAAGCGACCUCGCGAGAGCAAGCGGACCUCAUAAAGUAUGUCGUAGUCCGGAUUGGAGUCUGCAACUCGACUCCAUGAAGUCGGAAUCGCUAGUAAUCGUAGAUCAGAAUGCUACGGUGAAUACGUUCCCGGGCCUUGUACACACCGCCCGUCACACCAUGGGAGUGGGUUGCAAAAGAAGUAGGUAGCUUAACCUUCGGGAGGGCGCUUACCACUUUGUGAUUCAUGACUGGGGUGAAGUCGUAACAAGGUAACCGUAGGGGAACCUGCGGUUGGAUCACCUCCUUACCUUAAAGAA
rnacentral:rRNA from 1 species